rnacentral:rRNA from 1 species
UACGAAGGGUGCAAGCGUUACUCGGAAUUACUGGGCGUAAAGCGUGCGUAGGUGGUUUUUUAAGUCCGUUGUGAAAGCCCUGGGCUCAACCUGGGAAUGGCAGUGGAUACUGGAAAGCUAGAGUGCGGGAGAGGCGAGUGGAAUUGCAGGUGUAGCGGUGAAAUGCGUAGAUAUCUGCAGGAACACCCGUGGCGAAGGCGGCUCGCUGGAUCGCAACUGACGCUGAGGGACGAAAGCUAGGGGAGCAAACAGG